rnacentral:antisense_RNA from 1 species
CUUCACCGACCCCAGCCACAACGGCCGGUUCCGAUCCUGACCGUAGGUGGCCAGCACCGCCUGCGCCUC